AAGCGAGAUGGCGACAUGGAGCAAAUCCCAAAAAUAACGUCCCAGUUCGGAUUGCAGCCUGCAACUCGGCUGCAUGAAGCUGGAAUCGCUAGUAAUCGCGGAUCAGAAUGCCGCGGUGAAUACGUUCCCGGGUCUUGUACACACCGCCCGUCACACCAUGGGAGUAGGUAAUGCCCGAAGUCGGUGACCUAACCGGAAGGAAGGAGCCGCCGAAGGCAGGACUUAUAACUGGGGUGAAGUCGUAACAAGGUAUC
rnacentral:rRNA from 1 species